rnacentral:rRNA from 1 species
CAGUAGCCGCGGUAAUACAGAGUGUGCGAGCGUUAAUCGGAUUUACUGGGCGUAAAGCGUGCGUAGGCGGCUUUUUAAGUCGGAUGUGAAAUCCCUGAGCUUAACUUAGGAAUUGCAUUCGAUACUGGGAAGCUAGAGUAUGGGAGAGGAUGGUAGAAUUCCAGGUGUAGCGGUGAAAUGCGUAGAGAUCUGGAGGAAUACCGAUGGCGAAGGCAGCCAUCUGGCCUAAUACUGACGCUGAGGUACGAAAGCAUGGGGAGCAAACAGGAUUAGAUACCCCAGUAGUCCCUGUCUCUUAUAC